CUUUGAUAGGAGCAUGCUGUAGUUCUGGUCCCCUGACCAGGGUUAGGUGUGUGCUUAUGGCUUAAACAAGCAGAUGAAGAGGUGAGAGUGAGGAUUUCAGCCUGACCAGCAUUCAUACACUCAAAAGAUGUUUACUGAGCGCCUGCAUGCACCAGGUGCUGUGCUGAGUCCAGAACAGCGGCCUAGGCAGGAGCACCAACUCUGCCCUCUAAUGGAGGUACUGCAGGAAAUGUAAGUGAGCCAACCCGUGAAAUGACUGCACGCUGUCAAAUGCAAAUAAGAAAUCGAGCUACAGCAUUGGUGUGUGUGUGUGUGUGUGUGUGUGUGUGUGUGUGUGUGUGUGUGUGGUGGGGAGGGAAUACUUGUGAAAGGCAGAUCAAGAUGCCUUCUUGGGGAGGGGACAGUGAAGCUGAGACCCAGUGGACUGUUGGAGCCACAUGUGGUUCGUUGCCUGAAAUACGUCUCACAAAAAUGAAACUUCAAGAGUGCUUAAAUGUCAGGAAAAGCUUGUUUGGCGAGAAAAACAUGCUGGUUGGAGAAGUUAUGGAAUUUUUAGCAGAUUUGCUGUUUUUUUUCUCCAGAGAGAUAGUAAAAAGUAAGUUUUUAUGAAAUGUUUCAAGAAGUGUGUCUGUCUCCCUGACAAAAGUGCCCCCACUAGUGGCAGGGAGGUCUGGGGUUACCCAUCAGGGAUAACUGGUAAUACUUCUUUGGCUCCAGCCCUGCUCAGAAGCCUGAGGAUUCUCCGCAGCUGAGAGAUCUUGUACUGGUCUGCUUAUCAGGAUUCUGACCA
rnacentral:lncRNA from 1 species